rnacentral:rRNA from 1 species
GACGAACGCUGGCGGCGUGCUUAACACAUGCAAGUCGAACGGAAAGGCCCUGCUUUUGUGGGGUGCUCGAGUGGCGAAAGGGUGAGUAACACGUGAGUAACCUGCCCUUGACUUUGGGAUAACUUCAGGAAACUGGGGGUAAUACCGGAUAGGAGCUCCUGCUGCAUGGUGGGGGGUGGAAAGGUUCGGCGGUUGGGGAUGGACUCGCGGCUUAUCAGCUUGUUGGUGGGGUAGUGGCUUACCAAGGCUUUGACGGGUAGCCGGCCUGAGAGGGUGACCGGCCACAUUGGGACUGAGAUACGGCCCAGACUCCUACGGGAGGCAGCAGUGGGGAAUAUUGCACAAUGGGCGGAAGCCUGAUGCAGCAACGCCGCGUGCGGGAUGACGGCCUUCGGGUUGUAAACCGCUUUCGCCUGUGACGAAGCGUGAGUGACGGUAAUGGGUAAAGAAGCACCGGCUAACUACGUG